rnacentral:rRNA from 1 species
UACGGAAGGCAGCAGUGGGGAAUAUUGCACAAUGGGCGAAAGCCUGAUGCAGCUAUGCCGCGUGUAUGAAGAAGGCCUUAGGGUUGUAAAGUACUUUCAUCGGGGAGGAAAACAAAACUAAUAAUUUUAUUUCUUGACGUUACCCGAAAAAGAAGCACCGGCUAACUCCGUGCCAGCAGCCGCGGUAAUACGGAGGGUGCUAGCGUUAAUCAGAAUUACUGGGCGUAAAGAGCACGUAGGUGGUUUUUUAAGUUCAGAUGUGAAAUCCCUGGGCUUAACCUAGGAACUGCAUUUUUGAAACUGAAAUACUAGAGUAUCGUAGAGGGAGGUAGAAUUCUAGGUGUAGCGGUGAAAUGCGUAGAUAUCUGGAGGAAUACCUGUGGCGAAAGCGGCCUCCUAAACGAAUACUGACACUGAGGGUGCGAAAGCUGGGGAGCAAACAGGGAUUUAGAUACC